rnacentral:rRNA from 1 species
UACGUAGGGCGCAAGCGUUAUCCGGAAUUAUUGGGCGUAAAGAGCUCGUAGGCGGUUUGUCGCGUCUGCUGUGAAAACGCGAGGCUCAACCUCGCGCCUGCAGUGGGUACGGGCAGACUAGAGUGCGGUAGGGGAGAUUGGAAUUCCUGGUGUAGCGGUGAAAUGCGCAGAUAUCAGGAGGAACACCGGUGGCGAAGGCGGGAUCUCUGGGCCGUAACUGACGCUGAGGAGCGAAAGCGUGGGGAGCGAACAGG